GGUCUUACACAGGGGCAAUCUCUUAUUUAGAUUGAUAAUUGAGAAAGUCCAGGCUGCAAUAAAACCGUGAAAUCGAAAUGCUUUGCAAGUGGCUUCUGCAGCUCCUUAUAGCUACUUACAUGCAAUUCACAUUCUUCACCGAGAUGUUGGAGAAUACAAUUUUUGGUGUUUUUGGGCUUUGCCAAAGUAUCACGCCUUGGAGAUGAGGAGUGUGGUGCAUGGUGCAGCAGGUGUGGAUGCAGCGAUCAAGACCACAUGCUUGGCUUCUACAGAGAAGGGCACAACUAAUAUCUUGGCGGAUAGUUAUAUGUAUCAACAGGCUGCAGUAAGAUCAAAAACAAGCAGGAGGGACAUAGCGGAAUGAAUGGAACAAAGAAAGAGCCUGCUGGAGAUGCAAAAUUAAUUCUCCCUGGAGUGGAACAGUUUUAUAUAAUUAUAGCAUGAUUGUCCUCACGAAAAUAUGGAUUUCCAUAGUAUAAAGGUAGAUACUUAAAUGGUCAAGGAAUGUGUCAAUGGAGUGCUGCCGUCAUCCUGGUCGCAGUGGAGCACAUGCCGCCCGAGACGGAUCAUGUGGCACUACCAUCCUGAGCGCACUGCAUGUGGAAAUC